rnacentral:rRNA from 1 species
UGGGGAAUAUUGCACAAUGGGCGCAAGCCUGAUGCAGCCAUGCCGCGUGUGUGAAGAAGGCCUUCGGGUUGUAAAGUACUUUCAGUCGGGAGGAAGGUGGUAAGGUUAAUAACCUUAUCAAUUGACGUUACCGACAGAAGAAGCACCGGCUAACUCCGUGCCAGCAGCCGCGGUAAUACGGGGGGUGCAAGCGUUAAUCGGAAUUACUGGGCGUAAAGCGCACGCAGGCGGUUGAUUGAGUCAGAUGUGAAAUCCCCGGGCUUAACCCGGGUAUUGCAUUUGAUACUGGUCAGCUAGAGUCUUGUAGAGGGGGGUAGAAUUCCAUGUGUAGCGGUGAAAUGCGUAGAGAUCUGGAGGAAUACCGGUGGCGAAGGCGGCCCCCUGGACGAAGACUGACGCUCAGGUGCGAAAGCGUGGGGAGCAAACAGG